rnacentral:rRNA from 1 species
CCUACGGGUGGCAGCAGUGGGGAAUAUUGGGCAAUGGAGGAAACUCUGACCCAGCAACGCCGCGUGAAGGAGGAAGGUUUUCGGAUUGUCAACUUCUGUCGCGAGGGAUGAAGAAUGACGGUACCUCGUAAGAAAGACCCGGCAAACUACGUGCCAGCAGACGCGGUAAAACGUAGGGGGCGAGCGUUGUACGGAAUGUCUGGGCGUAACGGGAGUGUAGGCGGGAUCUUAAGUUAUGUGUGAAAGCCCGCGGCUCAACCGCGGAAUUGCACAUAAAACUGGUAAGCUGGAGUGCAGGAGAGGUAAGUGGAAUGCCCGGUGGAGCGGUGGAAUGCGUAGAUAUCGGGAGGAACACCAGAGGCGAAGGCGACUUACUGGACUGUAACUGACGCUGAGGCUCGAAAGCGUGGGGAGCAAACAGGAUUAGAUACCCUUGUAGUC